GACGAACGCUGGCGGCGUGCUUAACACAUGCAAGUCGAACGGUGAAGCGCCUUCCUUUUUGGUGGGUGUGGAUGAGUGGCGAACGGGUGAGUAACACGUGAGUAACCUGCCCCCUUCUUCUGGAUAACCGCAUGAAAGUGUGGCUAAUACGGGAUAUUCUGGGUCUGUCGCAUGAUGGGUCUGGGAAAGAUAUUGUUUCGGUGGGGGAUGGGCUCGCGGCCUAUCAGCUUGUUGGUGGGGUGAUGGCCUACCAAGGCGGUGACGGGUAGCCGGCCUGAGAGGGUGGACGGUCACACUGGGACUGAGACACGGCCCAGACUCCUACGGGAGGCAGCAGUGGGGAAGAUGGCACAAUGGGCGCAAGCCUGAUGCAGCGACGCCGCGUGAGGGAUGGAGGCCUUCGGGUUGUGAACCUCUUUCGCCAGUGAAGCAGGCCUGCCUCGUUUGUGGGUGGGUUGACGGUAGCUGGAUAAGAAGCGCCGGCUAACUACGUG
rnacentral:rRNA from 1 species